rnacentral:rRNA from 1 species
GACGAACGCUGGCGGCGUGCUUAACACAUGCAAGUCGAACGGAAAGGCCCUGCUUUUGUGGGGUGCUCGAGUGGCGAACGGGUGAGUAACACGUGAGUAACCUGCCCUUGACUUUGGGAUAACUUCAGGAAACUGGGGCUAAUACCGGAUAGGAGCUCCUGCUGCAUGGUGGGGGUUGGAAAGUUUCGGCGGUUGGGGAUGGACUCGCGGCUUAUCAGCUUGUUGGUGGGGGAGUGGCUUACCAAGGCUUUGACGGGUAGCCGGCCUGAGAGGGUGACCGCGCACAUUGGGACUGAGAGACGGCCCAGACGGCAACGGGAGGCAGCAGUGGGGAAUAUUGCACAAUGGGCGGAAGCCUGAUGCAGCAACGCCGCGUGCGGGAAGACGGCCUUCGGGUGGUAAACCGCUUUCGCUUGUGACGAAGCGGGAGUGACGGUAAUGGGUAAAGAAGCACCGGCUAACUACGUG